rnacentral:lncRNA from 1 species
CUUAGUUGUUCAUUUUGAUUCUUUUAUAACUCUUAUUAUAUGUUGAUCAUCUUUAAAGGUUAUCUAUGAUUAGCUUAUGAUUGUUCUUUUGUUAAUAGCUAUGCCUAAAUAAGCUUUUUUUAUAUCCUCUUUUUGAAUGACUGUUAUGUUGAAUAUAUGGGAUUAGCUAUGCCUAAGCAAAAUUUGAAUGACAUUGGAUUGGUUCAACAAGCACCCGGUUUUGGGAAGAACUUUGAAAUCACGUACCACUGCUGUUUGUCAUUGCAAUUUGUCCAAAUAUUACUGAUGUCUCAUUAAAAGCUGUGGGAUUUCACUCCAAAUCGCUUGCAACUCUAUCAUUAGCAUCAAUUUCUUUUACUUCUCAAUUGUAACUAUUUUGAUUGCAUGGUAUAUAAUUUUUCCCUCUUUGAUUUUUAUAUCUAAUAGUAUAUGAGAUGGGAGAAGGGGAAACUUGUCCAUGCAUAUUCUUCUCAGAAUCUUGAAGAAAUUCUUGUAAAUUAUUUGUAUUACUUUCAUCCUAUGUCUAUUAUUUAUAGAAAUUAUUUUCAAAAUAAACACAAUCCCAUUAUUUCACGAGUUCCAUUUUAUGCGACUACAGUAAUUUUGAUAUUCUAAAUGUUUUGACAUACCCAAUAUUGUGAUCAGAACUGAGGCAAGGAGAUAUUAUUUUCAAAUCUAUGUACCAUGAUUAAUUUCACCAAUAUUCUGGGUAAUCCACUUUCUCAUUUCAAACUCUACAUUAUAUUUUUUAGAGCUCAUGCGAAAGAAUAAGAGGAUGCUUGAUGAAUCCAUCCAAGAUAUCAAGCGGGAAAUACAGGGUUUACAAGCUCAAAAAAAGAAACAAAUUGUUGAGAUUAAAAAAAAUGGCAAGGGCAUAUGGUAAGAUGUUCUCUGUAGAUAAUAUUCUUGCAGCUUCUUACACAGUAUGACUCUCUUUCCUCCUAUAGGUCCCAUCUGCUUUAUUGCCCAAGUUGGUCCCAUGAAGAUAUUUUAGAAUAAUUUUAUGAUGAAAUUGCUUUUAAAGGUAGAUUCAUUAAUGAUGAUUUGGUGAAUUUCAUCUUCAGUGUAUGAACCAACCAGAAGAAGUAAGUAACUCGUCCAAAUUGAAAGCUUAAAUAACAGAAGUGAAAGGGAUAAUGAUGCACAAUAUUGAGAUGGUACAACAGAAGGCAUCGAAAGCUCAAGCCUAAGAGGCUGCUACAAGAGUCGUGAAAGAGACCUUCCCGCAAGCCUCUUGGUUCGCAACCUUCAACGUGAUUACAGGCCCACUAUUGUUCUUGUAAUUGUUCAACUUUCUACGAGCUGUUUUCUUGUUAUUGAAAUUAGUUUAAAAGCAUUGAUAUCUCCUUCAUAAUUUUUUUGACUUCACUGCCAUGCCUUGGAGAUAUAUCUUCCGCAUUAUAAAUACUCUUUGUUGCAUAAAGCAUUAUUUCCUAUUUUUUUGCAUUUAGUUACUGGUAUUUUAGGUGUAUUGAUUAUGUAUGAGUAUAUGAAGCUAAUCUGUCCACAAAUAUUUUGCAUGCCAUACUGGUUGGAUGUACAAAGUUAUUUCAUUAGACGUGCUUAUUUUGAUUCCGUGUAUAUCCAAUCCCAUGUUCAUAUUAAUGUGUGGUUUUAUAUGUAUCAACUUCUGUGACUAAAAUAUCAAAUAUGUACCUUAGUUCAUGUGCACAAGAAAAUUUCCAGCCCAAGAAGAAUCUCACACCGGCAUAAUGACAUUUAGGAAUAUAUUAUUUAGGGUGAAUUAAGCCAUGAAUUUCAUUUACAAAGCAUAUGUCCAAAUACUAAGAAUUAGUAAUUGCCUAAGAUUUAAGUGAGAAUUUACUGAACUUUCUGAAUAAUUUCAUAAAUAUUCGACACGCUAGCAUUACCUUCAAAAUAAUACAACUUGUGCAUUGCACGGGGCAUAAGACUAGUAUAUAUAUAAGAGGCACUUUGGGUUUCACCAUUCAUUUUUGUAACCUUCCAUUUCACACCUGAAGAGUUCAUCUACUAUUUACUAACUGGUUUUUUACUGUUCAUUAAAUAAUCCCGAGAGAAUGCUACUUUACUGUUCAUCUAUGAGUUUUGCUUCACAUUUCACUGUUCAUUUGAUAAUUCGUGUAUAGACAAAAAAGGGCAACAAUUGUUGACUGAGGAAGUGGGAUAUGACUGUUGGGUAGCUUCUCAAAUACGUUUUCUCGUUCUUUUUCUCACUGUACUGUACAUAUGGGCAAAUAUCUUGCUUGCCUCAGCUGUUCAUUCAGAAGACUUCGUUUUAGACCUCUCCGAUUCUUACUGUUCAUUAACAAGUUUUGUACUGUUUACUAAAUAUCUCUUUUGUUAGUUCAAUGGUCCACUUGUCUCGCACGUUUAAGCCUUUUACAGUCUCUCCCUUCCCUAUUCUUUUCCUUUUUGCUCUCGUGUUGAGGAAAAUUAUUGUUUAAAGCUCACGGUGAUGAAGAAAUCUAACUCAAAAGUGAUAGUGAAAGCCAAUCUGAUGAACUAGAUGAAGCAGCAGCAGAAAAUGCUGAGUUGAAAGAUGAAAAAUUCUACCAGAGUGCUGUUUAAGUGCUUCGAAAAUCAAGAAAUGUAAAGGUGAUAUUUUCUUUCUGCUGUUAUGUUGGGAACUUAAAUUUUGAGUUAUUGCUAAAAAUUAUCAUUGGAUUCCCUAUUCCCUUUGAAAAUUGUGGACCUUAGAGUUGUGAACUUAAUUCAGCCUGUUUAAGGAAAAAGACAUUUGGACUGAAGCAACUACGAUGAGAGAUAGAUGCAGCCAGUGUUCCCGGGUAUUAGAGGACGAAGGUGUUGGUAAUUCCGACUUCGAACUUUGACCUGUGAAUGGCAGAGGCUGACUGGGGAGGGAUUUUGUAUGGAAGGCGAGGUGUUCUUAGUGUUUCCAGCGAACGAGCAAGUAACUAGCAGGGAUUACAAACUGAAGCAAAGAAAGAAAUGAAGUCGAGGAUUCUAAGCUCAAAGUUGAACUGUUUUUUGCCCAUUCUUUUUCUUUCUUUCUUUUUUAUUUUUAUUUUUUGGUAGGGAAUGAUCUGAUUGUUUUUGUUAUUUAAGUUGGGUUUUUAUGGUGAUCUAAUUCAAACUGAAUCUUCAUAUUGGAAUGUAUGGGGAUGAACGAUGUCCUAAUUUAGUUGGUAAUUUACUGUCUUAUUGGAUAAAUUGGUUUCAUUUGUUCAUAUUUUGUCUCCUUGUUAUAUUUAAAGUUAAAAAAUGCAAGAUCACUGUAUUCUUUUGAAUGUUUAGGAGGUCUAAUUUUGGGAAAAAGCUACUUCCAAUAAUUAGAUGGAAAUCCAACAAAAGAGUCAAUAUUAUUUUACAUUUAUGUGGAAUUAGAUAUGUUUAAAAAAUAUGGCCUUUACUAUAAUUCCUUAGAAUCCCUGUAUUAGAAGCUUCCCAAACCUUUUAAAAUUGAUGUUUACCUCCUGGACAGAGUCUAAGGUCCAGUUGUUUGUCAUGCUAUUAUAUCUUUUAUAACAUUAAACGAAGAUUAUGCUUCAAACAUGGUUGUGUUUAAAGAUUUGGUGAUGAAGACUAAUGGAUUCAUAAUAGCAGUUAGGAACAGUAGUCAAUGAUGGCUAACAUGAGUAUGUUAUUAAUUAAGUUUAAGCUCAUUACAUACUGUGGAGUUUUUAUUGCAUAUUCAUUGCAUAAUCAUAACGUUGGCCACUAUAUUUACUCCAUAAUAAGAGUUGAAAGAAUGUUUUCAUAGGGAAACAAAUCUUUCAACCCUUAAAUACACACACACACACACAUACUUGGACAUUUAAAUGUAGACUUAAGUUCUUGGCAUCCCAUAAUCAAAUUAUUUCCUAUCAAGUGCACUGCCGUUUAAAUCAUUGUUCAUGAUCUGACUUUAUUUUGCUUCAUUAUUUGCAGAUAUGUGUUAUAACAGGUACAUCAACUGGUUUAGAUCAGACAGUGCCAUGGAUGUUCUAUCAUAAAGUUAUUGGGGUAUCAAUCUUUUUCCUUUUUGUUGAAGGGAAGGCUGCAUCUCUUGCUAUCUCCAAAGUCCUUGAAUAUAUUCCUAUGAGUUUUUUUCCUGCAUGUACUCUUCAUCUAUUCUUUUGAUCAAGUAACUACUCUUUUUAAGGCUGAUAUAAUCACUUUGCAUUUGCAACACAAUCUACUUAAAUAUUAUGUCAUAAAAUACUUUCUUUACCUUAAAAGGAAAAGAAAAAUACACCUGCAAACUAUGUUGGUCUUCAAGGGAAUUGUAGAGAGGUGCAAAAUAGAAAGAUGUUUAGAUUGAUUUUUGGUCAACUAUAUAAACUAUGUCGUGAAAAAAAAUAUUUCACGUGUUGUUUCCUUGUGCAAUCAUUUACACUUAACGUCUAUCACUUAGUUUAAAUAAUAACAAAUGCCUCCUUGCAAGUGGAAAAUUGCAUUGCUAUCCCAUGAUCUUUUAUUGCAGCUAGAUCCCUGCGCCAUGUUAUUCUAUUUGCUGGUAUUAACUCAUUGAAAGUAUUUUAUGCACUAGAAAUAUUUCUUGAAACUUGACAAUAGGUUUUGAGUUAUGUGCACCUCGAAUGUAAAUGUAUUUAAUUAUAUAGGAGAUAGUUCUGCCUUUCUUUUUUUUUCUUUUUUUUUUCUGAAGUCUAUGUUAAUGCAUUGUUGUAAAAUGAGUUUGUGCAUUUUUUUUAUUUUUUAUUUUUGUGACAAUAUUGUUAAUUAUUAUCUAGAUAAAUCCAAAGAAGGAAUAUUCAUUUGUUACUGAAAGAGUGCCUAUUUAGAGAUAAAAUACAAAUUGUGCAACAGCAAGUGAACCGAAAUUGUUACUUUUAAUAUUAUGUGAUACAUAAAUACAGAAUGCUCUCUCUUCACCUGAAGAAGUUUGAGUCUUAAUUAUCCUCCAUGAGUAACAAGCUAAAUUUUUCCACUCUUUUCACUUGUUAGAUUCUUAACACCGGUGUUAUGGACUGUGCUACAAUAGUUUGUCUUACUAAAUUGUUUAUGAUUUAAUGAUGUAGGUAUUCCUUAUAAUACUAAUCAUAAGAAUUGUUCUCCAAUUUAAACAUGCUACCAAUUGUUAUAUUAUAUUCUCUGAUCUACUAAGAGCUAUUUGCGAAUUUUUUACCUAUUUUUUGUUCACAAGUUAUAUAAACUCUUUCUAUCAUUGUCCUCUUUCCUGUUGAUUCUUCUGUUGAAUUGAUUUACUUCCUUGACUGUUGUUACGGAACCUUUUCAUAUGCCUUUGUAAGACCAAUUCCACGGUCAAUACUUAUUUGGUAAUUUUUCCAGGUUUUAGAAUUGCAAGCAACAAUGAUGGAGAUUAUGGAAGUUGCUGAUUUAUAAAAGCAGAAACAUAAUAAAACUCAAAUGAAAGCACUUGUGAGAUUGUCAAAACUUGAGGUCGUCAUGUGAUUUCUUUAAUUUAGAUUUAAGCUUUAGCUCUUUAGUUGACAUCUUAUUAGGUUUAGUUUUGAUCAUAUAAUUCUUCUUGUUUUUUGUCUUAUUAUUAUUAUGGAUAACAAUAUGUUUUCUCUUUGCUUUCUGUAUUUUGAAGACUCUGAAUGCUAACCUUGCCAGGUUUCUUGAUGCUGCAUACCAUUUCUCUCCCCUACCUCUAUUUGGUUUCUUUUCUUUCUUUUUACUUUUUCAACCAUAGCUAAAUGAUCCAUGAAUACCUUGAGAACACUCUAGACUAAAGGAGGACUUGGAGAUCUAUUUAAUUAUGUUUAUUUCUUCAUGUUUGUUUUAAGUUUUUGCUCAAUAGCUAAGUAUCAAUAAGCGAGUAAUUUAUCAGCAUAUUGGGAAGUUAGUGUUACUUGUUCAAUAUGGUUUCAAAAUCGACCUUGAGAAAUGAUUGAAUUGAAAUUGUACAAUGGUUCUAUAUGGUAGCAUGAUAGCAAAUUGAUAUACUAAUGAUUUUGUGCAUGGUGGACUAGGCUGAUCAUAUCGCUAAACUUUGUCAAAAGAUUCAGUUCAAAGUAGGAACUGAUAGAAGCGUGCUUUUCGUAUCUUAAUUGGGAAGUAACUUUAGUUUCUAUGCCUCUCUUUUUAGUUCCUGUCUUAUGUGUGCUUAUCUAUCCGUGCCAGAAUGACUUGUUUGAAUGUGCCCUGGUAACCCAGAGGCUUGUCACUCCAAAGAACUUGUAGUAUGGUACAUCAAAUUUUAUUUUUUGGGCAGAGACCAUUUAAUUCUCUUUUUCCAAUUUUCCUGCACUUCAUAUUGACUGCUCAUAGCUAUUGUGCUUUUAUUUUUGUUUCGAACGAUCCAACAUUUUCAUUUUAUUUUAACAUCCUUGAAGUUUAGCGUUGAACUUAAUGUCAGUAUAUAAUGGAUAUUAUAUUUUAUUAUUCAAUACUCAAUAUGCAUAUGCGGAGUACUCUGGUUAAUUAUGAGAUAAAUAAGUACGCAAUGGCACCAUUUUUAGCAUUCAGCUUGUAUUGUUGUUCUAUAAAAUUAUCACUAAUGGGGAAACCCUGAAAGAUUGUUGAGCGUUUCAUCUAUGUUUUGACAUAUUUAACUUUGUGAAGCAAAUAGACAAUUUUUAUUGACAAAUAGAGCUUAGUUACUAAGAUAUAUUGUUUCCUCUUGUAGAAUUGAGAAUGAAAAUAUCAGCUACGCGUCAAAAAUGGGACAACGUAAGCAUCUUUUGCUUCUUCAUUUAGUCAGAAUAUUCCUUAUAUCUUCUCAACUAAUUUUCCAUGCAAAUGGCUUGUAGCUGGUGGCUUCAAAACGUGUCGAAUUUGAAAGGAAGAUGCUUAAGGCAAAGUAUUACUGUAACUAAUAAAGUGGAACAAGUAAAGGUGACAUACUUCCUUUUCUAUUGAACAUUAUUUGUAUAUUUGACGUUGUCCUGGAAGUAUACGAAUCUUUGUAGAACUAUCAUAUAUCUUGUUCAGUGUAUUACAAAUUUUAAUAUAGAAUGUGCUUCUUAAUCUG